rnacentral:rRNA from 1 species
UACGUAGGGGGCAAGCGUUGUCCGGAUUUAUUGGGCGUAAAGAGCGUGUAGGCGGCUUGGAAGGUCAGCUGUGAAAACUCGAGGCUCAACCUCGAGACGUCGGUUGAAACCACCUGGCUAGAGUCCGGGAGAGGUGAGUGGAAUUCCUAGUGUAGAGGUGAAAUUCGUAGAUAUUAGGAAGAACACCAGUGGCGAAGGCGGCUCACUGGCUCGGUACUGACGCUGAGGCGCGAAAGCGUGGGGAGCAAACAGG